rnacentral:ncRNA from 1 species
GUUGUGAGCCAUCCUGUCACUAACCAGCCAGCUCCCAUCUCCAUAUUAGGCAAAGUGGGCGCCAAAAGACCACUGACCAAUGACUUAACACCACCCUUCCCCUUAGAAAUUUUCUUUGUCUUCCGCGAGGACCCACUGGAGGGUAAGUCUGGUACCAGCAGCCGCGGUAAUUCCAGCUCCAAUAGCGUAUAUUAAAGUUGCUGCAGUUAAAAAGCUUGUAGUCUGAUCUUAGGAGCGGCUGGGCGGUCUGCCGCGAGGCGAGCCACUGCCCGUCCCAGCCCCUUGCCUCUCGGCGCGGCCUUGAUGCUCUUAGCUGAGUGUCCUGAGGGGCCCGAAGUGUUUACUUUGAAAAAAUUAGAGUGUUCAAAGCAAGCCUGAGCUUUCACGCCAGUCAGAAUGGCGGCAGUCCAAAAGUCUACAAGGAAUAAAUGCUGGAGAGGAUGUGGAGAAAAGGGAACCCUCUUACAUUGUUGGUGGGAAUGCAAACUAGUACAUCACUA